UUUCUCGUUCCAUUUCUCAUUCUCCGGCUGACUUUUCUACUUAAUCUUGUAUUUACUUUAACUAAGCCUAACUGGGCAACCUGAAUCUUCCUGCGUACAUUGCAAAAGAAAAAUCUAAUUCAGUUGAAUUUCAAUUAGCUGAGAAAUGGAAGCCAGGGACUGAACGAUAUCGAACUCCAAACGUAGCAGACAAGCUACACCAAACUCAAACCUAUUCCCACUCCUCACAAGACAUGUUUCAUGCCAAACCAAACAAGUUUCAAACUAAUUCAAAUCUUUCAAGAACAAAACAAAAUCUUAUUCAAACCCUACAAAGCCUGGUGGACACACUAAGUUACCCAAAUAAUCCCCCAAACAACCCGCCAUCUAACAACCCCACACAAGUCAACCUCACACCAAAAUAUAUGUUACCAAGCAAUCCAGGCGCGUCAAACUCGAUUUCUUAUUCCCCAAACACCAAACCCAUAUGGCAGUCAAACAUACCACCAACAGUAUACGAAUAUCCAAUUCCCAACAAUGCCCUCCCAGAUAUGCCACAAAUAAUACCAAACUGGAUCAAUUCCAAACAAAACUUUGUCCAAAGUGAACCCAACCAGCCAGUAAAUAUCCCUACUGUUGCAAAAACUACACCAAACAGGCCUGAAAUGAUACCGAACCCAAGUCAUCUUUAUCAAACCAUAUCAAAACAACACCAAUCAGCUUUAAACCAAUUAAAAAAUCAACUUCUUAAAUCCCAUAAAACUUUGAAUUCAUCUUUGAUCCACUCACAACCUCUAUCUCAGGUUUUAAAUGCUCAAGGAUGGAAACAGAAAAAUCUGGAAACUUCUCCUGAACUUUCUCCUAAUUUAAAACU
rnacentral:lncRNA from 1 species